UCAAAGAUAGCUUAGUGGGUGAAGUGCUUGCCUUACAAGCAUGAGGGCCUGAGUUCAAUCCCCAGUAAAUGCA
rnacentral:tRNA from 1 species